UACGUAGGUGGCAAGCGUUGUCCGGAAUUAUUGGGCGUAAAGCGCGCGUAGGCGGUCUUUCAAGUCAGAUGUGAAAUCCUUAGGCUUAACCUGAGAAUUGCAUUUGAAACUGUUAGGCUAGAGUCUAGAAGGGGAGAGUGGAAUUCCUAGUGUAGCGGUGAAAUGCGCAGAUAUUAGGAAGAACACCAGUGGCGAAGGCGGCUCUCUGGUCUACGACUGACGCUGAGGUGCGAAAGCUAGGGGAG
rnacentral:rRNA from 1 species